rnacentral:rRNA from 1 species
UACAGAGGGUGCGAGCGUUGUCCGGAAUCACUGGGCGUAAAGGGCGCGUAGGCGGCCUGAUAAGUCGGGGGUGAAAUCCUGUGGCUUAACCACAGGGCUGCCUCCGAGACUGUCGGGCUCGAGCACAGUAGAGGCAGGUGGAAUUCCCGGUGUAGCGGUGGAAUGCGUAGAGAUCGGGAAGAACAUCGGUGGCGAAGGCGGCCUGCUGGGCUGUUGCUGACGCU